rnacentral:rRNA from 1 species
CCUACGGGAGGCAGCAGUGGGGAAUAUUGGACAAUGGGCGCAAGCCUGAUCCAGCAAUGCCGCGUGUGUGAAGAAGGCCUGCGGGUUGUAAAGCACUUUCGGUUGGGAAGAAGUUUGGCUUGUUAAUAUCAAACCAAAUUGACAUUACCUUCAGAAGAAGCACCGGCUAACUCCGUGCCAGCAGCCGCGGUAAUACGGAGGGUGCGAGCGUUAAUCGGAAUUACUGGGCGUAAAGCGCGCGUAGGUGGUUGGGUAAGUCGGAUGUGAAAGCCCUGGGCUUAACCUAGGAACGGCACUCGAUACUGCCCGACUAGAGUAUGGUAGAGGAAAGCGGAAUUCCCGGUGUAGCGGUGAAAUGCGUAGAUAUCGGGAGGAACAUCAGUGGCGAAGGCGGCUUUCUGGACCAAUACUGACACUGAGGCGCGAAAGCGUGGGUAGCAAACAGGAUUAGAUACCCUGGUAGUCCACGCCCUAAACGAUGUCAACUAGCCGUUGGGUUCAUUUAAGAGACUUAGUGGCGCAGCUACGACGAUAAGUUAGACCGCCGUGGGAGGUACGGCCGCGAACGGUUAAAACGUUAAAAGGUAAAGUUAGUACGGACGUGAGACGUGCCGAACGGACGACGACGAGGGAGGUAGG